GAGCAGGCCCGAGGCGGAUGCCUUGGGGCCGUCCGGCGAGGAAGGGCGCGGCAGGCCGCGAAAGUCCAGGGGGAGGAGCGAGCGUCCCUUGAUCCCUGGGUUCCCGAAUGGGGCAACCCGGCGGAAGCGAUUCCGCCAUCCGAACGCCUGAAUGAAAUAGGGCGCGGAGGCCACACUGCGUGAAGUGAACCAUCUAAGUAACGCGGGAAAAGAAAUCAAGAGAGAUUCCCCAAGUAGCGGCGAGCGAACGGGGAGGAGCCCAAACCGCUUUUGGCGGGGUUGCAGGGCCGCGCGGGGAUGACCCGGCGAGUUUGCGAGAAAACGGAACGGCAGCGGAAGGAGCCGGACAGCUCCGCCGCAGAGGGUGACAGCCCCGUACGCGAAGCCGGUCCGUCUCGCUGGCGCGGUUCCUGAGUAGGGCGGGGCACGAGGAACCCUGCCCGAAUCCGGGUCGACCACGAUCCAAGGCUGAAUACGGACGGCCACCGAUAGCGCAUAGUACCGUGAGGGAAAGGUGAAAAGAACCCCGGCGAGGGGAGUGAAAGAGAACCUGAAACCUCGGGCCUUCAAGAUGCCGCGGCGCGCGAGCGUUGCGGCGUGUCUUUUGUAGAAUAAACCUGCGAGUCGCGGUAUGGGGCGAGGCUAAGGGAUCGAAGUCCCGGAGCCGGAGCGAAAGCGAGUCCGAAACGGGCGAGCAAGUCCCAUGCCGCGGACCCGAAGCCAAGGUGAUCUUGCCACGGGCAGGCUGAAACGGGGGUGACACCUCGCGGAGGGCCGAACGGUAAUCUGUUAAAAAAGGUAGCGAUGACCCGCGGCAAGGAGUGAAAGGCUAAACAAACCUGGAGAUAGCUGGCUCUCCCCGAAAUGCCUUUAGGGACAGCCUCGUGGAAAGCUUCCGGAGGUAGAGCGCUGGAUGGACUAGGGGGCGUCACAGCCUUCCGAAGCCAACCAAACUGCGAAUGCCGGAAGCCAGCCCACGGGAGUGAGACCGCGAGCUCUAAGGUCCGCGGUCGAGAGGGAAACAGCCCGGACCGCCGGUUAAGGCCCCGAAAUGGCGCUGAGUGUUAAAUGAGGUGGGGAUGCGAGGACAGCCAGGAGGUUGGCUCAGAAGCAGCCAUUCCUUGAAAGAGUGCGUAACAGCUCACUGGUCGAGCACCCCCGCGCAGACAAUGUAACGGGGCUAAGCGCCAUGCCGAAACCGCGGAUUCGUUCCUCAAGGAACGACUGGUAGGGGAGCGUUCCGCCAACCCAUGAAGGGGGACCCGCGAGGGCCCCUGGAGGAAGCGGAAGAGAGAAUGCAGGCAUAAGUAACGAAAAGGCGGGUGAAAUCCCCGUCCGCCGAAAGCCUAAGGUUUCCAGGGCAAGGGCAAUCCGCCCUGGGUAAGUCGGCCCCUAAGCUCAGGCUGAAAAGCGUAGGCGACGGGAAUCCGGUCCAGAUUCCGGAACCCGCCCUGUUUCUAUCGGAGCGACGCGUUAGGAGAGUCGCGGCGGGAGAACGGUAGUUCCCGUCCAAGCGUCCGACCCGACGAGGAGGGGGGCUAAAAGACCCUCCGAGGGAAGGCGUUACGGCGAGGCCCCCUUAGGGGGGAGGAAGCGCGAGGAUUCAUGGCGCCGGGAAAGAGCUCCUAGGCUAGGCAGGGCGGACCGUACCGCAAACCGACACAGGCAGGCGGGAUGAGAAAUCUAAGGCGCACGAGAGAACCCGCGCUAAGGAACUCGGCAAAAUGCGCACGUAACUUCGGGAGAAGUGCGGCCCGCGUUUGAAAGAAUUGCGGGCCUCAGAAAGCGGGCCCAGGCGACUGUUUACCAAAAACACAGCCAUCUGCGAACCAGCGAUGGGACGUAUAGGUGGUGACACCUGCCCGGUGCCGGAAGGUUAAGGGGAGAGGUCAGCGCGCGAGCGCGAAGCUUCGAACCGAAGCCCCGGUAAACGGCGGCCGUAACUAUAACGGUCCUAAGGUAGCGAAAUUCCUUGUCGGGUAAGUUCCGACCCGCACGAAUGGUGUAACGAUUCUGGGCGCUGUCUCAGCGCGGGACUCGGUGAAAUUUAUGUUCCGGUAAAGAAGCCGGAUAGCCGCAAUUAGACGGAAAGACCCCGUGAACCUUCACCGCAACUUAACGUUGGGAUCCUAUCCGCCAUGUGUAGGAUAGCCGGGAGGCAGCGAGGCGCGGGCGUCAGCCUGCGCGGAGCCGUCGGUGAAAUACCGGCCUUGGCGAAUGGGAUUUCUAACCGCCCCCGCGAAUCCGGGGGCGGGACAGGGUUAGGCGGGCGGUUUGACUGGGGCGGUCGCCUCCCAAAUUGUAACGGAGGCGCGCGAAGGUCCCCUCACCCCGAUUGGAAACCGGGGCGCGAGUGUAAAGGCACAAGGGGGCUUGACUGCGAGCGGGACAUCGCGAGCAGGCGCGAAAGCGGGUCUUAGUGAUCUGGCGGUGCCGAGUGGAAGGGCCGUCACUUAACGGACAAAAGGUACUCCGGGGAUAACAGGCUGAUUUUCCCCAAGAGUUCACAUCGACGGGAAAGUUUGACCUCGAUGUCGGCUCAUCGCAUCCUGGGGCUGGAGCAGGUCCCAAGGGUUUGGCUGUUCGCCAAUUAAAGCGGUACGUGAGCUGGGUUCAGAACGUCGCGAGACAGUUCGGUCCCUAUCUGUUGCGGCCGGCGGAUGUUUGAGAGGGUCUGCCCUUAGUACGAGAGGACCGGGGUGGACCUGCCUCUGGCGUGCCAGUUGUCCUGCCAAGGGCAAGCGCUGGGUAGCCAAGCAGGGAAGGGAUAACCGCUGAAAGCAUCUAAGCGGGAAGCCCGCCUCAAGACGAGACAUCCCAUGGGGCUCGACCCCACCGAAGGCCCCCGGGACAAUACCGGGUCGAUAGGCCGCAGGCGCAGGCGCGGCGACGCGCAGAGCCGAGCGGUACUAAUAGGCCGCGAGGCUUGGCC
rnacentral:rRNA from 1 species